AUUGAACGCUGGCGGCAUGCCUUACACAUGCAAGUCGAACGGCAGCGGGGGAGAAGCUUGCUUUUCCUGCCGGCGAGUGGCGAACGGGUGAGUAAUACAUCGGAACGUGCCCUGUAGUGGGGGAUAACUAGUCGAAAGAUUAGCUAAUACCGCAUACGACCUGAGGGUGAAAGUGGGGGACCGCAAGGCCUCAUGCUAUAGGAGCGGCCGAUGUCUGAUUAGCUAGUUGGUGGGGUAAAGGCCUACCAAGGCGACGAUCAGUAGCUGGUCUGAGAGGACGAUCAGCCACACUGGGACUGAGACACGGCCCAGACUCCUACGGGAGGCAGCAGUGGGGAAUUUUGGACAAUGGGCGAAAGCCUGAUCCAGCAAUGCCGCGUGUGUGAAGAAGGCCUUCGGGUUGUAAAGCACUUUUGUCCGGAAAGAAAUGGCUCUGGUUAAUACCUGGGGUCGAUGACGGUACCGUAAGAAUAAGCACCGGCUAACUACGUGCCAGCAGCCGCAGUAA
rnacentral:rRNA from 1 species